rnacentral:rRNA from 1 species
GGCGUACGGGUGCGGAACACGUGUGCAACUGCUUUAUCUGGGGGAUAGCCUUUCGAAAGGAAGAUUAAUACCCCAUAAUAUGCUGAAUGGCAUCAUUCGACAUUGAAAACUCCGGUGGAUAGAGAUGGGCACGCGCAAGAUUAGAUAGUUGGUGAGGUAACGGUCACCAAGUCUACGAUCUUUAGGGGGCCUGAGAGGGUGAUCCCCCAACUGGUACUGAGGCACGGACCAGACUCCUACGGGAGGCAGCAGUGAGGAAUAUUGGACAAUGGGUGAGAGCCUGAUCCAGCCAUCCCGCGUGAAGGACGACUGCCCUAUGGGUUGUAAACUUCUUUUGUAUAGGGAUAAACCUACCCUCGUGAGGGUAGCUGAAGGUACUAUACGAAUAAGCACCGGNUAACUCCGUGCCAGCAGCCGCGGUAAUACCGGAGGGUGCAGCGUUAUCCGGGAUUAUGGGGUUUAAAGGGGGUCCCGAAGGCGGAAUCCUUGGUAAAGGUCCACGGUUGGGUUGAACAUUCUUCAACNAGGNUUAACUNUGGGCAAAACUUGGGCCACAUUGGAAUAACUGGCCAAGGGUCCUUGGANUCGCUAGGCACGAAA